CCAGACUCCUACGGGAGGCAGCAGUGGGGAAUCUUCCGCAAUGGGCGCAAGCCUGACGGAGCAACGCCGCGUGAGUGAAGAAGGUCUUCGGAUCGUAAAGCUCUGUUGAUGGGGACGAACGUGCCUAAUGCGAAUAGUUUUAGGCAAUGACGGUACCCAUCGAGGAAGCCACGGCUAACUACGUGCCAGCAGCCGCGGUAAUACGUAGGUGGCGAGCGUUGUCCGGAAUUAUUGGGCGUAAAGGGAGCGCAGGCGGACAUAUAAGUCCAUCUUAAAAGUGCGGGGCUCAACCCCGUGAGGGGAUGGAAACUGUAUGCCUUGAGUGCAGGAGAGGAAAGCGGAAUUCCAUGUGUAGCGGUGAAAUGCGUAGAUAUAUGGAGGAACACCAGUGGCGAAGGCGGCUUUCUGGACUGUAACUGACGCUGAGGCUCGAAAGCCAGGGGAGCGAACGGGAUUAGAUACCCCGGUAGUCCUGGCCGUAAACGAUGGAUACUAGGUGUGGGAGGUAUCGACCCCUACCGUGCCGGAGUUAACGCAAUAAGUAUCCCGCCUGGGGAGUACGGCCGCAAGGCUGAAACUCAAAGGAAUUGACGGGGGCCCGCACAAG
rnacentral:rRNA from 1 species